rnacentral:tRNA from 1 species
GCCCGAUUAGCUCAACGGAUAGAGCACCUGGCUUCGGACCAGGGGGUUAGGGGUUCGAAUCCUCUAUCGGGCGCCA